GUGAGCAGAAAGACAGGCUCUUCCGGCAGUGGGACCAGCUCAGGGACAAGUCUCUGCAAGGGCCGGCCGAGGCCCCAGGGCCCAGACGCGUGGGCGGUGGGGGGACCCUGGGGCGCUCUCGGCCCUGAGUGCCGGGGUCCCAGGUGUGGUCCUGGGCUGGAGCUUCCUUUACCUUCAGAUUCCAGCUGUGUCUGUUCAACCUCAGAGGUCGAGGGCUUUUCAUGUCUGCUCCCAGCUCCGGGCGCAGGCCCUGGCACGUUGUCAGAGGAAGGGGUGGAUGGUGCAGCCCCAGAGGAUGGCCGGGUCAGACUCCCUUCCCUCCUUCCAGGCGGCCGGGGAGGAAGUAGGGCAGCCUGUCAGGUUGGCGGGGGCUGUCCUGGGCACCCCCUCCCUGUGUGUUCUCUCUUCUGGCUUUGUCUGCUCCAGGGUCCCUACCAGGGACACCAUCCCUUACCUGUCCUGUGCCUGCAACUUCUCUGGGCCUCACACCCGCUGCAGGUGCCCCUUUGGUGCCCGCAGCCCCCACGCUGCCCCGGAAGCAAGUAUUUUCUGAGCUGUGUCGCAAAUGCCAGUUUGUCCCCAUUGCUCCCCCAAAUCGGGAGGGAGCGCCUCAGAUUCUGUUUUGGCCUCCUCGCAGUGCCUGGCCUCGGCUGGCCGGCUCAUCCAUUCAACAGCGUUUUCCUGAAGCCCUGCCUAGGAGCCAGGCCUUGUUCUCCACCCAGGAGACACAGCAGGGGCUCCCUGCUCUCGGGAAGCUCCCACUUUACGGGGCAGGAGACAUCAAACAAGGAAGGACCCAGACAGCUCCUUUUGAUGGGAGUAGGUGUCAUCAGUAAGACAAGGCAGGGUGAGGCGGCCCAGGAACGGACGCAUUCCUCCUCCCUGAGAGGCGGCGAUCAAGCGGAGCUGUGCACAGAUCUGAGUACCACCGACCUUUCUCAGCAGAGGGAGGAGCUGCAGAGCUCCCUAAGGAGGCGCUGUUCCUGUUUCCCACGUUUGAUGGAGAAGAUGAAGCUGAUGCCGGGGAAGACGGGGCAAGCGGGGCGGGGCGGGGCGGGGGCAGGCCUCUUGUAUGGAAUCGCAGCACACGGCAAGGGACUUAGGGUUUAUUCAGAUCGGGAAGGGCCGUGA
rnacentral:lncRNA from 1 species